rnacentral:rRNA from 1 species
GCUGGCGGCGUGGAUAAGACAUGCAAGUCGAGCGGGAUUUUCUUUGGUAGCAAUACCGAGGAAAAUUCAGCGGCGAACGGGUGCGUAACACGUGGGCAAUCUGUCUUAAAGUGUGGGAUAGCUCGGCGAAAGCCGAAUUAAUACCGCAUGUGGCUACUGGAGACAUCUUCGGGACGCUAAAGGUGGCGCAAGCUACCGCUUUUUGAGGAGCUCGCGGCCUAUCAGCUUGUUGGUGAGGUAACGGCUCACCAAGGCGUUGACGGGUAGCUGGUCUGAGAGGACGACCAGCCACACUGGGACUGAGACACGGCCCAGACACCUACGGGUGGCAGCAGUCGAGAAUUUUUGACAAUGGGGGAAACCCUGAUCGAGCGACGCCGCGUGGAGGAUGAAGGUCUUCGGGUUGUAAACUCCUGUCAUUUGGGAACAAGGCGCGGCUAUUAACUGUAGUCGCGUUGAUAGUACCA